UUAAGCAGAGCUUGAGUUAAGCUAUUCAUUUACAUUGAAAGGAUCCUUUUAGUUAGGUGUUUAUA
rnacentral:tRNA from 1 species